rnacentral:rRNA from 1 species
UACGAAGGGGGCUAGCGUUGCUCGGAAUUACUGGGCGUAAAGGGCGCGUAGGCGGCGCGGUAAGUCGGGUGUGAAAUCUCGGAGCUUAACUCCGAAACUGCAUUCGAUACUGCCGUGCUUGAGGACUGGAGAGGAGACUGGAAUUUACGGUGUAGCGGUGAAAUGCGUAGAUAUCGUAAGGAAGACCAGUGGCGAAGGCGGGUCUCUGGACAGUUCCUGACACUGAGGCACGAAGGCCAGGGGAGCAAACGGG